rnacentral:rRNA from 1 species
CUGGCUCAGGAUGAACGCUGGCGGCGUGCUUAAUACAUGCAAGUCGAACGAAGACAUCUCGCCGAAGCUUGCUUCAUUGAGAUAUCUUAGUGGCGGACGGGUGAGUAACGCGUGGGUAACCUGCCUUACACAGGGGGAUAACAGUUAGAAAUGACUGCUAAUACCGCAUAAGCGCACAUUAUCGCAUGAUAGAGUGUGAAAAGAUUUAUCGGUGUAAGAUGGACCCGCGUCUGAUUAGCUAGUUGGUGAGGUAACGGCCCACCAAGGCGACGAUCAGUAGCCGGCCUGAGAGGGUGAACGGCCACAUUGGGACUGAGACACGGCCCAAACUCCUACGGGAGGCAGCAGUAGGGAAUAUUGGACAAUGGGGGAAACCCUGAUCCAGCGACGCCGCGUGAGUGAAGAAGUAUUUCGGUACGUAAAGCUCUAUCAGCAGGGAAGAAAAUGACGGUACCUGACUAAGAAGCACCGGCUAAAUACGUGCCAGCCGCGGC